AAAGUCGUAACAAGGUUUCUGUAGGUGAACCUGCAGAAAGAUCAUUACUGUAGGGGUGAUUCCCUAUCAAGAUAGCACCCUUUGUCUAUAAGUACCUCUUGUUUCCCUAGCAGGUGAUUCUGCUAACAGGGACCCUAUAAACCCUUUGUAGUUGCAGUUAACCUCUAAUACAACUAAUCAUUAAAACUUUUAACAACAGAUCUCUUAGCUCUA
rnacentral:misc_RNA from 1 species